GACGGAGGGUGCAAGCGUUGUUCGGAAUUACUGGGCGUAAAGGGCGCGUAGGCGGUCUGUUAAGUCCGUUGUGAAAGCCCUGGGCUCAACCUGGGAAUGGCAGUGGAUACUGGCGAGCUAGAGUGUGAUAGAGGAUGGUGGAAUUCCCGGUGUAGCGGUGAAAUGCGUAGAGAUCGGGAGGAACACCAGUGGCGAAGGCGGCCAUCUGGAUCAACACUGACGCUGAGGCACGAAAGCGUGGGGAGCAAACAGG
rnacentral:rRNA from 1 species